GAUGAACGCUGACAGAAUGCUUAACACAUGCAAGUCUACUUGAUUCUACUUCGGUAGUUGAUGGUGGCGGACGGGUGAGUAACGCGUAAAGAAUCUGCCCUUUAGUUCGGGAUAACCUUUGGAAACGAAGGAUAAUACCGGAUAUUAUGGAGACGUCGCAUGACGAUUUCAUGAAAGCUAUAUGCGCUAGAGGAGGACUUUGCGUCCCAUUAGUUAGUUGGUGAGGUAAUGGCUCACCAAGACCGCGAUGGGUAGCCGGCCUGAGAGGGUGAUCGGCCACAAGGGAACUGAGACACAGUCCUUACUCCUACGGGAGGCAGCAGUGGGGAAUAUUGGACAAUGGGCCACAAGCCUGAUCCAGCAAUUCUGUGUGCACGAUGAAGGUCUUCGGAUUGUAAAGUGCUUUCAGUAGGGAAGAAAAAAAUGACGGUACCUACAGAAGAAGCGACGGCUAAAUAUGUGCCAGCAGCCGCAGUAAGAC
rnacentral:rRNA from 1 species